UGCGCGAGUCAUUGGGAACGACGAAACCCAAAGGCGAAAUGAAAGUGAAGAUCCACCUCGUGUGGAACGAGGGCCGAUGGGCGACGUUACGGCGUUCGCCUCGCAGGCCCGGGGCGUCUCGUGCUCAUUGCGAGCUGGAGCGCACCAAGAGCGUACACGCUGGGACCCGAAAGAUGGUGAACUAUGCCCGGUCAGGACGAAGUCAGGGGAAACCCUGAUGGAGGUCCGUAGCGAUUCUGACGUGCAAAUCGAUCGUAAGAACUGGGUAUAGGGGCGAUAGACCAAUCGAACCAUCUAGUAGCUGGUUCCCUCCGAAGUUUCCCUCAGGAUAGCUGGCGCUCGAAUGCGAGAGUUUCACCCGGUAAAGCGAAUGACUAGAGGCAUUGGGGACGAAACGUCCUCAACCUAUUCUCAAACUAUAAAUGGGUGAGAACUCGUGGCCUGCUCGAACAGUGAGGCCGGAGAUGUGUGAGAAUCUGAGUGCCAAGUGGGCCAAUUUUGGUAAGCAGAACUGGUGCUGUGGGAUGAACCAAACGCCGGGUUAAAGCGCCUAAAUCGACGCUUAUCGGAUACCACGAAAGGCGUUG
rnacentral:rRNA from 1 species